rnacentral:rRNA from 1 species
GAUGAACGCUGGCGGCGUGCCUAAUACAUGCAAGUCGAGCGAACGGACGAGAAGCUUGCUUCUCUGAUGUUAGCGGCGGACGGGUGAGUAACACGUGGAUAACCUACCUAUAAGACUGGGAUAACUUCGGGAAACCGGAGCUAAUACCGGAUAAUAUUUUGAACCGCAUGGUUCAAAAGUGAAAGACGGUCUUGCUGUCACUUAUAGAUGGAUCCGCGCUGCAUUAGCUAGUUGGUAAGGUAACGGCUUACCAAGGCAACGAUGCAUAGCCGACCUGAGAGGGUGAUCGGCCAAACUGGAACUGAGACACGGUCCAGACUCCUACGGGAGGCAGCAGUAGGGAAUCUUCCGGAAUGGGCGAAAGCCUGACGGAGCAACGCCGCGUGAGUGAUGAAGGUCUUCGGAUCGUAAAACUCUGUUAUUAGGGAAGAACAUAUGUGUAAGUAACUGUGCACAUCUUGACGGUACCUAAUCAGAAAGCCACGGCUAACUACGUG